UUACCAGAGUACUAUGAAUGUUAAAAAUUUAAAACUCAAAGAACUUGGCGGUGUUUUAGACCACUUAGGGGAACCUGUCUCGUAAUCGAUAGUCCACGUUGUAUCUGACCUUUUUUUGUUUUCAGUUUGUAUACCGUUGUCGUCAGGUAACUUUUUAGAGAUUAGAAGUUAGCAAUAGAAAUGUGAUAAUUUAGUACGUCAAAUCAAGGUGCAGCUAAUAAGAAGGGGAGGAUGGGUUACAGUUAUGUGAUUUAUAAUACGGAAAAAUGCAUGAAAUAGCAUUAAUUUAAGGCGGACUUGAAAGUAAAUUAGAUUAUAUGAAUAAUUUGAAUGAGGCUCUGAAACGUGU
rnacentral:rRNA from 1 species